UACGGAGGGUGCGAGCGUUGUCCGGAAUCACUGGGCGUAAAGGGCGCGUAGGUGGCGCGGGCAGUCAACGGUGAAAGUUCGGGGCUCAACCCUGAAUCGGCCGUCGAUACUCCCGGGCUUGAGCACUGUAGAGGCUAAUGGAAUUCCGGGUGUAGCGGUGGAAUGCGUAGAGAUCCGGAAGAGCACCGGUGGCGAAGGCGGUUAGCUGGGCAGUUGCUGACACUGAGGCGCGACAGCGUGGGGAGCAAACAGG
rnacentral:rRNA from 1 species